rnacentral:rRNA from 1 species
UACGUAGGGUGCAAGCGUUAAUCGGAAUUACUGGGCGUAAAGCGUGCGCAGGCGGUUGUGCAAGACAGAUGUGAAAUCCCCGGGCUUAACCUGGGAAUUGCAUUUGUGACUGCACGGCUAGAGUGUGUCAGAGGGGGGUAGAAUUCCACGUGUAGCAGUGAAAUGCGUAGAUAUGUGGACGGAAUACCGAUGGCGAAGGCAGCCCCCUGGGAUAACACUGACGCUCAUGCACGAAAGCGUGGGGAGCAAACAGG